CACAACGAAAAUAUGAAGGCUUUGACUUCGCGGCCGGCUGAAAUAUUUUUUCACCCAUGUCUUUUGCGCACUUGUUGUUUCCUGGGCGGGUUCGCCCGCCACCAGGACCAAACCAUAAACCUUUUUUUAAUGCAGUUGCAAUCAGCGUCAGUAAAAAAUAAUGUAAUUAUUA
rnacentral:misc_RNA from 1 species